GAGAGGUUGGGCUCAGAAGUUAAAAUCUCCCAGGAAGGGAAGCUGGGGGAGGACAGAGGACCCCAGUGCUGAAGCAGAAGCACAGGGGCUGUGUCACUUCUCCAGGUCUGAAGGAAGACCUGAGGUUUGGCUUCUGUUUCCUUUGGACCUGUACUUGGUGGUUGCUAUGGGGAGAAGACUUGCUUAUUUCCUGGAAUGAGAAGACUUUUCUGCGGUGAGAAGCUUUCCAGGAAGUGAAGCGAAAAAGUGGCAGCUUACGUCGGGCUGAAACGGCGAUGACAUGACUGCAGGUAACUCGGUGCUUGCUGCAGGAUAAAGAAGACGCAUGGAAGAGUAGGGAUUGUGAAGAGUGGAAUAAGAGGUGUACUAAGAGGCCAUCUUGGGUCUGAAGGUGAAACACAACUGUGAGAAAAUGCCUCCUGAAGGGUCCUCAACAUAUACGUACAUCAAGCAAGUUCAGCAGAACUGGCAGCAACAGCCUGUGCUUCUAGCUUCACCCAGUUUCCUGCCUUGCCCCUGACAUGGUGGGAUUGCUGCUAGAGACGAACACAAAUUCAGAGGAGGCUAUUCUUGGAAGGGAUUGAAAUGGAGCCGCAACCUCGGAAUUUGUAGAGCGCUUGGAAAUCCCAGAGAUAUUAACAGGAGCAAGAACAGUAUGAUCUCUUUGAAUAUCAUGAUGGAAGUGGCUUAUUUUUCUGAUAACUGAAAGCUUUUGAACAGACAGUCAUUUCUCUGGGUUUCUGUUCUUACAAGGAUUUUUACUGACACUUAUUUAAACUAACCCUUCCUCCCUUCCUCCCCCCAAGUAGCUUAUUGGUAGUACGAAGUUUUUAAUACUUGAUAUUCAAGCUGCCUGGAUGGUUUAAUUUAUUUUCCCUGUCUUGAUCAUUCUUAUAACAUUUGAUCCAAAGCCAACAAUGGGAAAUUUCAUUUUCACACUCCAACAUAAUGUAUACAGCAAAACUAUGAGCAAAAUGUAGGAAGACUAAAAGUUGAUUUUAGUAAGAUGCGUACUAAGUAUUGCAUAUGAAGUAACAGGAGAACAAACUAAUAUAUGAGACACCCUUCAUCUUGAAAGUAUGAAGAUUAUAAAGCAGAAUUAGGUGUGUGAUGCUCCCAGAAGAAGAAAAUAAAUAAUAAACAGACUAAUUUUAUGGUGAAAUGGAAACAAGAGACAGAUGGCUACAUCAAAGGCUGCCUGCAGCAAAGGUUUCUAGCUAAUGUUUACAAACACCCCUUUUAGCCAGGUGUGAUCUAUAGCAAGGAUACCAUCAUGAGACCUUCUGGGCUAUGCCUAAUUGAAUCUGUACUGAUAAAUGCAGGUAAGUAUUUAAUGUUAACCCUAUAAAUACAAGAAAAAAAAGCAAGCUUAUUUUCUUUUGGGCCUGGACGAGAUAAAGUUUUCCUAUCCUGAGAACAUAUUCAAGCCUUCUAAAAAUUUUUCCCAUUCCAUAUGGGACAAAUAUCCAGGUUUGGGGUUUUUUUCUUGCAAACGAUUGUAAGAAAGAGAGAGCUUAUGCAAUAUCCUCUUCCCCUGCCCAAGAAUACCUAAAAGGCUGGUAAUUAUUCUAUCCACGUGGGAAAUGGGAGAACACAGGUCCCUGUGCCUGAUUCUGAUCCUGAAAUCGAACCUUCGGUGAUUAUAUAUACUUUAUGGUUCCCCUUUUCCAAGUCUUAUUCCACUCAGUCUAGUGGAGGCCCUGCUCUCAAACCUUGUGGCUUCCAAAGGUGUGCCAGCAUAUACGGUUUGCUUCUACUUGGUAAGAGCAACUGCUCCAAGCCUAUUAGAAGCUGCCUGUGUUGCUGAUGGUCUUACUGUAUCACCACAUUUAGGACAAACUUGAGUUUUAUAUUGGGAAAAGUGGUUUGGGAGGCAGCGCUUGUUGUAUUGGGUAGAACUUGCUGUAUUGAUUAAAUGAUUGGGAAUUAAAGAUGCAUCUACAUGAUAUAUUUACUGCAUCCUCAGGUAUGCUGUGCUGCUUUGGGAGUGUGGGAUGUGCUGCCUCCUAAACCAGAAACAAUGUAGUUGUAUCCAUGUGGCAUUUCAGAUUGGCCAGUUAUCAUUGGUUAGAUCCAAUUAACACACCCAUGGCUGUAAAGGGGUAUAUUAAAAUUAGGAGUAAAGAAAAGAGAGUGGGGAAAAAGCAGGAGGAGUAGAAUUAAGUGUAUUUUUGAGUGCAAGUAGGAAGGACAAGGCAACAAUUUUAUAAUUUUAUAGUAGGCAAAAGAAAGGAAGAAGAGUGGGAUCAUCAAUAGAGAGAAAUGGAUGGAUUUGGGGGAUAAAAAGAAGGAUACAGUUAGCUCAAUGCUCCUGAGUCACCAAAGCACUUAAGUAUGUACUUAAACCUCACUGACUGACGGGGACUUGAGGGGAUAAAGCUAAUCAUGCACUUAAGUGCUCUGGUGACUCAGGGCUGUAGGAGGGAAAAAGAAGAAUCUUUCCAUAGAUAACGGGAAAGAGACCACAGAAUUUGCUGUUACCAUAUUCCAGGCCACUAUCAAGACAUUUGUUCUUAGGAGUGAAAGUUUUGCUUGCCAUUCAUCAUUGCAAAAGGAACUUGUUUUGCAAGGUACAGUCAUAGCAAACUACAAUAAGCAAAAAACAAACCUGAAUAGUUCUGUAAAGAAAAAUUCUGAAAAAUUAUUACGUUUCUGAUACUGGGAAAAUCUUGCAGGACACAUCAUUUUUGCAGUUUUACCUUGGAAAUUGUACUUUACUUUUAUUUAUUUAUUUUGUACUGUGCUACUUUAUCAAGUGUUCCUCAGGUCCUUUUAAUAACGUGUCAGGCAGGGUCUCCGAGGUUGAUGACAUUUAGCAAUACCAUACAUUCAACUUUAAAAAUACAUUUCAAUUACAAACCCUACAUUCAUCAUGACCUGACAGUUUUAAUAUACUAUGUACAUUAGUUAUAUACCCAAUAGAUUUACUCCCUUCCAGAUAUGUUUUGUAUUAAUUUUUCUCCAGAGUUUCAUAAUUCUCCAAGUCAAACUAGAUUUGUUUUACCCUAAGUACCUGAAAAAUUGGUUUAUUUUUUAUACAUGUGAAAAGUUGAAGGCAUCUGUUUGAAAAUAUACACCUUCAGAGCCAAAACUUGAUAGCAGUGUUACUCCUGACACCACUGGUGCACCCAUAACUUUGUACACUCCUACAUGUGUACAAACCCUUUGUCAGCAGAUUUCUCCAGUUUUAUCCAAGUGGUAUGUAAAUGUGUUCUCCUUCAAGUU